UGAGAAAUGGUGUAGUGGUUUGAGUGUUAAACUAAGACUUGAAACCAGGGUUCGAUUCCCUGCUUGGCCA